rnacentral:rRNA from 1 species
AAAUUGAAGAGUUUGAUCAUGGCUCAGAUUGAACGCUGGCGGCAGGCCUAACACAUGCAAGUCGAACGGUAACAGGAAGAAGCUUGCUUCUUUGCUGACGAGUGGCGGACGGGUGAGUAAUGUCUGGGAAACUGCCUGAUGGAGGGGGAUAACUACUGGAAACGGUAGCUAAUACCGCAUAACGUCGCAAGACCAAAGAGGGGGACCUUCGGGCCUCUUGCCAUCGGAUGUGCCCAGAUGGGAUUAGCUAGUAGGUGGGGUAACGGCUCACCUAGGCGACGAUCCCUAGCUGGUCUGAGAGGAUGACCAGCCACACUGGAACUGAGACACGGUCCAGACUCCUACGGGAGGCAGCAGUGGGGAAUAUUGCACAAUGGGCGCAAGCCUGAUGCAGCCAUGCCGCGUGUAUGAAGAAGGCCUUCGGGUUGUAAAGUACUUUCAGCGGGGAGGAAGGGAGUAAAGUUAAUACCUUUACUCAUUGACGUUACCCGCAGAAGAAGCACCGGCUAACUCCGUGCCAGCAGCCGCGGUAAUACGGAGGGUGCAAGCGUUAAUCGGAAUUACUGGGCGUAAAGCGCACGCAGGCGGUUUGUUAAGUCAGAUGUGAAAUCCCCGGCUCAAACCUGGGAACUGCAUCUGAUACUGGCAAGCUUGAGUCUCGUAGAGGGGGGUAGAAUUCCAGGUGUAGCGGUGAAAUGCGUAGAGAUCUGGAGGAAUACCGGUGGCGAAGGCGGCCCCCUGGACGAAGACUGACGCUCAGGUGCGAAAGCGUGGGGAGCAAACAGGAUUAGAUACCCUGGUAGUCCACGCCGUAAACGAUGUCGACUUGGAGGUUGUGCCCUUGAGGCGUGGCUUCCGGAGCUAACGCGUUAAGUCGACCGCCUGGGGAGUACGGCCGCAAGGUUAAAACUCAAAUGAAUUGACGGGGGCCCGCACAAGCGGUGGAGCAUGUGGUUUAAUUCGAUGCAACGCGAAGAACCUUACCUGGUCUUGACAUCCACGGAAGUUUUCAGAGAUGAGAAUGUGCCUUCGGGAACCGUGAGACAGGUGCUGCAUGGCUGUCGUCAGCUCGUGUUGUGAAAUGUUGGGUUAAGUCCCGCAACGAGCGCAACCCUUAUCCUUUGUUGCCAGCGGUCCGGCCGGGAACUCAAAGGAGACUGCCAGUGAUAAACUGGAGGAAGGUGGGGAUGACGUCAAGUCAUCAUGGCCCUUACGACCAGGGCUACACACGUGCUACAAUGGCGCAUACAAAGAGAAGCGACCUCGCGAGAGCAAGCGGACCUCAUAAAGUGCGUCGUAGUCCGGAUUGGAGUCUGCAACUCGACUCCAUGAAGUCGGAAUCGCUAGUAAUCGUGGAUCAGAAUGCCACGGUGAAUACGUUCCCGGGCCUUGUACACACCGCCCGUCACACCAUGGGAGUGGGUUGCAAAAGAAGUAGGUAGCUUAACCUUCGGGAGGGCGCUUACCACUUUGUGAUUCAUGACUGGGGUGAAGUCGUAACAAGGUAACCGUAGGGGAACCUGCGGUUGGAUCACCUCCUUACCUUAAAGAA